AAUGGCUGCAUUUCCAAAAGAUCGCUGAUACAAGAAAGUCUAUAAAUAUUGUGAAAGCUUCUAGUCAAUGUCAUAUCAUUUGCUUCAACAGAGGAAGAAUAAUUCAAUCUUCCUGAAUAUUACCAAAUGAGAUUUUAUAGGCAUUAACUUAACCAUGUCAUUCUAAAUUAUUCUACCUAGUUUCCAGGGACUUCAGCAGUGAGUAGAUUAAGUAUUGCAAUAUGCAGGAACUUAACCAGCACACAGGGAAGACAGUGGCAAAUUAAGAUAUAAGAGGGGUGGCCACAGGAACUAGUCCAGCCAUCUCCAUACCCAUGAAUUUUGGUUUGUGUGCCAUUGGGGUGAAAGCAGAAAGUGAUGCGCAUACAUUUUAGUAAGAUUUAAGAAUAGUGUGACCUUUGCAAUGUUUUCUCCUUCAGUCAGCUGCAUAAAAAUGACAUCUGGGAAAAAAUAUUGAUCAGUCUUUUGAAAAUCCAGCUUCACCUGAGUAUUACACCAUUAAUUAACCAUGUGUGUAAGUUAGUGCAGUACUGUAUAAGUGCAAAGGUCCAGAACCAAAUAUUUGUUAUGCAAAUAUUUCUGGUACCACUUUCCACACAUGUUGCUCUAUAAAAAAAAUUAAUGUAUAAUUUUGAGUGGUUUUGGUUGUGUAACCUAACCUAACCUAACCUAACCACACAUCUGUGAACUCAAGCUUCGCUCAUUAAAGUAAUCUGAGGGGAAAUUCCAGAUUCUUCUGUAGUAAUGAUAUAUACACACACUUCAUAACAGUUACACACUUUUGACAACAUGUAAAAGUGUUUUGUGGCAAAGUUAAUGAAGGGUUUUAAAGCAAACUUCACAACUGUUCUUAAUUUCAUAACUGGGAAGACUAAGUAAUAAUAUUUACAAUACUCUGACAGUUAAUUCAGACACACCACACUCAUAUCAGCAUUAAUACUCAUGCUUGAGCUUGUAAGAUCUUCCAUAUUUCACAGAGGCAGAUGGUCACUUGAAAGCAAUAGAAGCCAUAUCAAACACAUAUCAAAGGCAGUGGCAUUCAUGUGAUGGUCCAGGUCCAGAUGCCAUACAAGUCCAGCUGUGCUGGAUGGGCAUCUGCUCGUCAUGUCCCAGAGGUGUUCAUCGCCCACAUAGCAAGACUGCACAUCAACAACAAGCCCUCCAGAUACACCUGAGGCACACAGCGUCACCCCAGUACAGCCCCAAGUUGGUCUGGCUAGCCCCAAUGAGGAUGAAAGCAGGAAACAUCAUUAUCACCUGCUGUGGUUGAUGAUGGUGGCUUCUACACACACACACACACCUCAGACAGCAAUUCCUGGAACAAGAGAGGACAGAACAGCAUGCCAGCCACAGCAAGAGCUAGUGCGUGAACAGCCACGGCCACCAACCGGCCACCAACCGGAAUAGCGCAGCCCCCACAGUCGACCCAGCGGUGAAGACUGUGCUCAAUAUUAUCUAUCAAGACUCUCUCUCUCUCUCUCUCUCUCUCUCUCUCUCUCUCUCUCUCUCUCUCUCUCUCUCUCUAUCAAGGACUCUCUAUCAAGACUCUCUCUCUCUCUCUCUUUUAGUGAAAUGAUUUUUACUUUAAGCUUCUUGUAAUCGCAAAAUUCUGUCAAUAAACUAUAAUAAUAA